UACGGAGGAUGCGAGCGUUAUCCGGAUUUAUUGGGUUUAAAGGGUGCGCAGGCGGUCUGUUAAGUCAGCGGUCAAAGCCCGGGGCUCAACCCCGGCCCGCCGUUGAAACUGGCAGUCUCGAGUUGGAGAGAAGUAUGCGGAAUGCGCGGUGUAGCGGUGAAAUGCAUAGAUAUCGCGCAGAACUCCGAUUGUGAAGGCAGCAUGCCGGCUCCACACUGACGCUGAGGCACGAAAGCGUGGGUAUCGAACAGG
rnacentral:rRNA from 1 species